UUCUUUUUUUCGCCAGUUCAACGAAAGAAGCUCGCGAGUGCGGAGCAAAUAACGGUAGGCGCCAGCUCGCAAGUAACGGUCCAUCGUAGCAUAGUGUAGUGUAGUGUCUCAGUGCCGCGUAGCUUAGUGUUUUCAAGUGGAGUGCAGACGGGGGUUGCAAACAAAAAGCCCAUAAAAUACUAAGCGCAAAUAGGCGAAGAAAGAAAAAAUAUUUAACACAAGUGUGUCGGCUCAGUGUUUCUGUGGUGCGAAAAUCUCACGAAAAUAGAAAAGGAAAAAAGAAAACAAGAGGAAAAAUCCAAUAAAAACAUGGCCCGCUGAGCGUUCAGCCUCACAUAACGGAAAAAGCUGGAGAAACAACGUCAACAGCUAACUGGGGAAUAACAAAAACCAGCGCGUCCAAAAAACCAAAACUAAAGUACGAAACGAAAAAGAUAAACAAGCGCGGAAAGUUGCUCGCUAAAUAAAGGAUUUUCCGCCCAGCUGGAAAGUGUUGAGCGGGACAACUCGUAAUUGAAUGGAAGAUUGAAGCGCGAGGAAGUGAGAGGAACAGCUAGCUUAGCUGCUACAUAAGUCAGAAUGUUUGAGCCUCGAUUAGUUCAGAGUGGUGGCAGUUGAGGCGCCCAGCAGAGAGCACGAGAACGUCCUUCCCGCCCACUCGCACGCCCCUUUCGUUCGUUGAGUUAGUGGGUGU